UACGUAGGCAGCAAGCGUUGUUCGGAGUUACUGGGCGUAAAGGGUGCGUAGGCGGCCCUGUAAGUAUGGUGUGAAAUCUCCCGGCUUAACUGGGAGGGUGCGCUAUAGACUGCGGGGCUCGAGUGUGGGAGAGGAAAGUGGAAUUCCUGGUGUAGCGGUGAAAUGCGUAGAUAUCAGGAGGAACACCGGUGGUGUAAACGGCUUUCUGGACCAUUACUGACGCUGAUGCACGAAAGCUAGGGGAGCAAACAGG
rnacentral:rRNA from 1 species